rnacentral:rRNA from 1 species
AGCGAACGCUGGCGGCAGGCCUAACACAUGCAAGUCGAACGAACCUUUCGGGGUUAGUGGCGGACGGGGGAGUAACACGUGGGAACGUGCCUUUAGGUUCGGAAUAACUCAGGGACACUUGUGCUAAUACCGAAUGUGCCCUGCUGGGGCAAGAUUCAUCGCAUUUAGAGCGGCCCGCGUCCGUUUAGCCAGGUGGUUGAGGUAAUGGCUCACCAAGGCGACGAUCAGUAGCUGGUCUGAGAGGAUGAUCAGCCACAUUGGGACUGAGACACGGUCGAAACUCCUACGGGAGGCAGCAGUGGGGGAUCUUGCGCAACGGGCGAAAGCCUGACGCAGCCAUGCCGCGUGAAUGAUGAAGGUCUUAGGAUUGUAAAAUUCUUUAACCGGGGACGAUAAUGACGGUACCCGGAGAAGAAGCCCCGGCUAACUUCGUG